GUACAGAGGAGCCAAGCGUUGUCCGGAUUGACUGGGCGUAAAGCGCACGGCAGGCGGAUUGUUAAGUCGGGGGUGAAAUCCUGGAGCUCAACUCCAGAACUGCCUUCGAUACUGGCGAUCUAGAGUCCGGGAGAGGUGAGUGGAACUGCGAGUGUAGAGGUGAAAUUCGUAGAUAUUCGCAAGAACACCAGUGGCGAAGGCGGCUCACUGGCCCGGUACGUGACGCUGAGGUGCGAAAGCGUGGGAGCAAACAGG
rnacentral:rRNA from 1 species